CAGGUUAAAUCUCAUUUUCAAGCGAUAAAAUUGUUUUUUAGCGUUAUUUAAAAAUUCUACGUCGCGUUGCGAAAGGACGAUAGUCGCGAGAAGUUGCUAUGAUCAUUUUUAUUCGAUAAUAUUUGAUCUACUCGGUGAAAUAAUCGGAAAUAAAGUUUAGCCGUUAUUGCUAAGUAACUGGCCAAUAUGGCGGCCACGGCUGACCCCUGACUUAGCCCAAUAAAUUGACCUUCAUGGACCUGUUCUCCCAUUCGUUGACAAUCAUAAAUCGAAAUGUCUUUUAAUCGUUAACGAAUUUAAGAGCAGAAUGAAGCGUUCGGCAGAUUUAACGGUUAAAUAAGCUUUCAUUCGUGAGCCACUCGAUAGACUGUCUUGAAUGGCGACGUCGAACUAUUAAAAACUUGCAUACGACUUUAUCCCUUCAAUUUAGAACUUGGAACACUUAAAAUUAAGUACUUUUGAUAGAUUACUUCCCAAUUAACUUUAAUUCACGUAGGACGCUUCGUUCACAGCGUCACCAAAUCCGGUAUCCCGUGAUGUUUGCAACUGGUCAGAACUUUAUAGGCCUAGUGUCUGCCAUUAUCAAUAUCGCGGUUAAUAUCGAUUUGAUAUUAUCAACAUUACCUUCCAUUUCCGUUAACGAAUAAGUUAAAUGACGAAGCCUUGUUCAUAAUAAAGUAAUAACGGUCACGGUACGCUUAGAACCACGAUUCAAAUACGUAAAAAAAAAGUUAAAAGUAUUCCUUUGCUCUACUUUAAGGUAUAGGCCUAUUAAUUCUAAGGUUAAGGGGUUUACGAACGUUAAUUUAAUUUUAUUUAUAACCUUUAAUAUCUACUUCUCGUCCUCAUAAAAAAAAAAAAUGCUUCUUAACCAAAGGCAACAGCAGCUAAAAGUUCGAAAACGGACGAGAAGUGGACGUAGGCCUAUAUGGCGAAUUGGUGCAACAUGGCGAACAAUUCUGGAUUUCGAUUUUUAAAUUCGCCGCUGACGAGUCCAACUCCGGAGGCUUCACUGACGCGUCUUCCCUCGACCGCUUCUCGGGAGCAACUGGGCACCAUUGCCAGAUGAUGGUCACUUACAUACUCACCCCACUGCCAUCA